rnacentral:lncRNA from 1 species
GUUUUGGUUGUGGAAGACGCUUCUCACAAUCCAAAUUCUUCCUUAGUUCUAGUUUGAUUAGGAAACGUUCGCUAAUCAAACACUAAUCAACAAGUUGCCAAGGAACGUCCUUGGGACAUUGUAGCAUCGAACAACUGUUGAUUGCAUUAAGACUUAGAAAAACCCAAUUCUAUCCUUGCCAACCGCGUGGUCAAGUUUAGAUUAUGCAACUUGAUUAAAUGUGUAUUUGAACAACCUAAGCAAUUACGGACCUAAAUCAUUCAAACAAUAUUACUUAAGCAAUUUAAAAGCAAUGGGCCCUUAUUGAUUCUAAAAGCAAAGUAAUAAUUAUGGAAAAGAUCAGUUUGCAUAAAUAUUGAAACAAACAAGAGUUCAACAAUGGAGUAUUAAACCUCCCAAUUCAUCACAAAUCUGAAUAUUCUCAACUUCAACUAGAAAAUAAUGAAUUUAGCCACUCAUGGUGACUAAAAUACACAAAAAGAUUAAAAGAAGAGAAAAGGGAACAGUUGCAGAGCUUCUGGCGAAGGGGAGAGUAUGCUGAAUUGCUAUCUCGAUGAUGCCUUUGCUGGUUUUGAGACUACCCUUUUAUAGCUGAAGAAUUGUCUAGGGUUUUGAAAUCCCUUUUUGAUUUGAUGUUGGACUCCUCUUUUGAUGUUGAAUUUGAUUGCAAUUGGAUUUCCUUGGAUGAGAAGUUCUUUCGUGGCUCUUGGAUAAGUGUUGGUAGUGAUUGGAUUGGAUUUGGACUUCUGAAAAUUCGGAUUUCUGUUUGCUAUCCAUUUUCCCGCUCUGCUGUAAUUUUCUGCUAUCAAAGUGAUUUGCCCGGCGAUUUGACCAGUUUCUUGGGCAAAUCACUGGGCAAAUCGCUUCUCUGUGAGUCAGUCCUCUAUGCCUCUGCGAGUGAUUUGGUCAGUGAUUCUCGAUUGUCUUGGUCAAAUCGCUUGCCCAUGUCACUGCUGUCUGUUGCCUCUGGGUAUCUGUUUUAGCUUGAUCUGGGCAGUGAUUGGAGCAGAUUUUUGGGCAAAUCACUGGGCAAAUCAUCCUUUUGCAAAUUUUCUGCACUUUUUCUCCCAUUUUCCAGAUUCUUCCUUUUCUGUAAAAACAACAUAAAAACCAUAAAUUAAGCUAGAAAAUGUGUAAAUAAGCAAUAAAAGAGAUAAUAAAAAUGUGGCUAAAUUGUGCUUGAUCAAAUACCCCCACACCUAGCUUUUUGCUUGUCCUCAAGCAACAAAUAACUUAGCCAAUCAAGCCCCUUUUCCUUAGAGCCUAAGUACCACUUAAUCAGCUCCCCCUAGACUCCUAAUCUGAAUUAUCACAGUAUAGAGUACAUGCACUAAGGUCAUCCUCUCCUUUCCUUGUUUCCUUUCACCUACCAUGGUCAAGAGAAAGGUUUUUGAAUCAAUCAUGCUUAUUCCUUUAUGUUAGUUUUAAUGCAACCCCUAGGAGUGACCUGCCACCUUCUCUCUUUCUCCUUUUUAUAUUUUUAUUUUCAGCAGCACUUAUUCUUAUUCUUGCCUGAAAAAGUCACUAACCUUUUUACGCGAUUGUGUACAUGGGUGAUACACCCCCGGUUACUCAGUUAGUCACUUGUUCAAGUGGCUACUAGCUCUGUUCAUAGUCUAGACCAUCGAAACUUAUUUGCUUGAAAAAAUUACUGACCUUUUUACGCGAUUGUGUACAUGGGUGAUACACCCCCGGUUACUCAGUCAGUUACUUCUCCAAGUGGCUAUUAGGCUCAGUUCAUAGUCUUAGACCAUUGGAACAAGUUUGUGAUUUGUGCUUUGUGCUGGUUUUUCAUGAUAAUUUGGGCAAAUCAGCUCAUAGGGAGUUACACUCACUUUGUGUUUGCAUGUAUUUGUAUUUUAAUUUCCCUUGACCACAACAAGUUUAAGGGUUCAAUUCAAGUAAAGAACUUCCUAAGUGAAGGUAGCAUACUGUGAGUAAUUCAACUAAGGCUUAGAGGGGUGGCCAAUCAAUGGGGUCAUGAGAUAAGGGCACUCUUUCAACCUUGUUAUUUAUGUUGAGUAAAGCAACUAGCUACAAAAUUCUGUGUGUGUGUGCUAGGAGUGUGAAAAAAAUUCUGGUGUGUGCACAACAAAAAGAAAUCAAAAGGAUUGACAGAUCAAAAGAAUGGAAUAAAGACUCUCCAGUACCC